AAAGAGAAAAUCGAGAGGUUUUCCUCCUUACCCACACACCAUUGUUGAGGUUUGAAAAGAUUUUGGUGGUUUGCCUUGUGGAUUUCAAGUGGCCUCUCCAUCUGUCUGUCCUGGAUACGCACAAGGAGAAGGACAAAUUUGAAAUUCCCAUUAACGCUGUGGCCUGGGUGCAUUAUAGGCAUCAUGUGCUGACAGGUGGAAGGGGGACAGUGUGUUCAGUGGUGGGGUGAAUGCAUGCCUCCGUAUUUCUUCAGACAUCUGUAUCUAGUGAGAACGGGGAAUGGUUGUGUCAUCACUGCUGGGCUGCUGUUGAUAAUGAAGAAUUGCUCCUUUGAUUUGACUUGAGUGAUGAAGUUUCCAUUACAACACCAUUCCCUGAUGGCGGUUUUGAUAAAUGCUAUGAUGUAUGGGUGUUGGGUGAACUUGGUCUAAAGAACUCUCGGACAAAAUUAUUCACCAUUGGAUCUAUCCCCGAUACCUAUUGGCCACUAGGAGUUGAUAGCAAUGGUGGAUUUCUCUUUUCAAUAAGAUCCUCCAAAGGAGAGUGUUUAGUCAGGUAUCGUUCAAGUAACCAAGAGACAGAGACACUCCACCUUGGAGGGUCGAGCUUACAGCUAGUAAUGUACGCAGAGAGCCUAGUUUCUCUCAAGGGCGGAAAUGCUUUCAUCCAUUAAAUUUCAACCCUCAUGCUUAUAAUUUAGUUAUGCUUUUAUUCAAUGUUCAGCCGAUCAAUAUAAAGAUAUGCUGCUAUCUUACCUAGUAAUGACAUACUGAGAAGUGAGAAGCAUCUGUUGGAUUUUCUUUUGUCUUUCUUUUUCUUUUUCCUUUACAAGUAUUCAAGUAUUCAUUUGUCACACACAAACAAGAAUGGUGCUAUCAAAUUAACUAGUUGGAAUCUUUAA
rnacentral:sRNA from 10 species